rnacentral:misc_RNA from 1 species
AGCAGCCGCGGUAAUUCCAGCUCCAAUAGCGUAUAUUAAAGUUGCUGCAGUUAAAAAGCUCGUAGUUGAAUUUCGGGACUAAUAUGUCGGUCGUGCCUCGGUACGUACUGGUUUAUUGGUUUCUCCUUUCUGAAGAACCAUGAUGUCAUUUAUUUGGUGUCGUGGGGAAUCAGGACUGUUACUUUGAAAAAAUUAGAGUGUUUAAAGCAGGCUCACGCUUGAAUACAUUAGCAUGGAAUAAUGAAAUAGGACGUUUGAUUCUAUUUUGUUGGUUUCUAGGAUCGACGUAAUGAUUAAUAGGGAUAGUUGGGGGCAUUAGUAUUCAAUUGUCAGAGGUGAAAUUCUUGGAUUUAUUGAAGACUAACUACUGCGAAAGCAUUUGCCAAGGAUGUUUUCAUUAAUCAAGAACGAAAGUUAGGGGAUCGAAGACGAUCAGAUACCGUCGUAGUCUUAACCAUAAACUAUGCCGACUAGGGAUCGGAUGAUGUUAAAUUUUUUAAUGACUCAUUCGGCGCCUUAC